rnacentral:rRNA from 1 species
UGGGGAAUUUUGGACAAUGGGCGCAAGCCUGAUCCAGCCAUGCCGCGUGCGGGAAGAAGGCCUUCGGGUUGUAAACCGCUUUUGUCAGGGAAGGAAUCUUCUGAGUUAAUACCUCGGGAGGAUGACGGUACCUGAAGAAUAAGCACCGGCUAACUACGUGCCAGCAGCCGCGGUAAUACGUAGGGUGCAAGCGUUAAUCGGAAUUACUGGGCGUAAAGCGUGCGCAGGCGGUUUUGUAAGACAGAGGUGAAAUCCCCGGGCUCAACCUGGGAACUGCCUUUGUGACUGCAAGGCUUGAGUGCGGCAGAGGGGGAUGGAAUUCCGCGUGUAGCAGUGAAAUGCGUAGAUAUGCGGAGGAACACCGAUGGCGAAGGCAAUCCCCUGGGCCUGCACUGACGCUCAUGCACGAAAGCGUGGGGAGCAAACAGGAUUAGAUAGCCCUGGUAGUCCACGCCCUAAAACGAUGUCAACUGGUUGUUGGGAAGGUUCCUUCUCAGUAACGUAGCUAACGCGUGAAGUUGACCGCCUGGGGAGUACGGCCGCAAGGUU